UCACUCCCUCCCUCACGUGCUCAGAUCCGCCCACCCUCCCUCACUCUUCGCGCUCAGAUCCGCCCGCCCUCCCUCACUCUUCGCGCUGGAAACCCUAGCCGCCGGGCCAUGGUGACAGACGGCGACGACAACGACGGUGGCUACCUCGACGACGGCGGUGCGGCCAGCAGCAGAAGCACCACCAUGGCCUCCCUUCCUCCAACCCUAGCCGUCCGGCCAUGUUGGCGGCGGCCAGAUCCGCGCCGGGACAGGACCUGCUUGUGCUCGUUAGGAGAGGCACGCCAUGGAGCAGCUCGUCAAGGACAGAUAUGCAUCCAUGGUGAAGUUACUAUAUAAGUAUAGGGUCAAGCACUGCCCCGACAUACAUCCGAUUUUGAGUUUUUCCUCAAAGUCCCAUGGCCGUGUUGCUGGUAGAGUUGGAAGCACUGCCCUUGAUUUUGAAAUUGGAGAAGGAAGACGGAGAGUUCAGUACAGUAAGGAUGCUCUAUAAUAUAGGAAUCCAGACAAGGACGAUGAGCAGUACACGACCCCACGGCCGAGCCGACGAUCAACCACCAGUGGGCAUGUGAAUAAGGGAUGGAGCAGCAACAAUGAUUGGUUGCACGGAGCUACAGUUAACCUGAUGUGGUGUUUGAAUCUCCUCGACAUAGCGAGUAGUUGUGUGUGGUUUCCUUUCCAGUAGCAUAGUUGGAGUUUAGCAUGUGUGUGUAGAGCUGAUGGUCGUGAGGCUAAUUCCUAGAGUAGUACAUGACUUGAAGAUGCCCAGCUAGAUGUGAUACUUUGUGAUGGUUUAGUCUACUUUGUGAUCUCAUAUGCAACACUUUGUGACACCCUAUGAUAUAUAUAUGGACAUUUGCUA